ensembl:lncRNA
GUUUUGGUGUGCGCGUGUGCGUGGGCAGCUGGGGGGAGGUUUGUUUACUAUUCUCUGUAUGGAAAAUCCUUCAGGAAUGUGGAGGAAGUGGGUGUUUCUUCCAGUAGCUUGAGCUUUUGAUGAGGAAGGACGGGGGCGGCUAUUCCAAUAUCCCACAAUGCUUCAGACGACGCGUCUCGAGCUGCUUACCUUCGAGGGAUUACGCGACGACAACAAUGCAACGGUAGCAGCAAUGGUGAUGAUCGGAUCUCAGGCGGCAGCUCGUGUGUGAUUGUGUUUGAGGAAUCCGGCCCCCCCCCGUCUUCCAAUCUGUCCAUCUCUCAGCGCUCUUGUAGCGGCGGAUGAGAGUCCCGCCUCUCUUCAGCAGACAUCCUCAACGGUGACGUUUGGCUCCUACGAGAAAAAGUCGAAACAGAAAAGCUUUUUUGACCCGACCUUCCACCUGCGGCUCCUGGGGACACACAGCUCACAGGUGGAGACUGGCCAUGUGACUCCGCCAAUGGCGACGCGAUCUGUCAGCAAUCAGCAAACCCAGAAGAAGAUAGAAUCAGUAAACGGCAGUCAAGUCAAGCAAGACCGACCCUAAAGUCUUCUUUUUGGAGGAAGGGGGAGGUUCCAGCUUCUACACAAACGGAGCCUCCUCUGUCAUCACCACCACCACCAUCUUUGUUGAUUCAAGUUACAAUAAUAUGUGGUCCAACUACGUGGAACUAUGUUCUUACGGUCUUAAUUGCUGUAUCAAUCCGCAUGUUAAAGUGUGUAUUUAUAUGUGCUUCGUAUUUGUAUUUUUAGGGCUGUC